rnacentral:lncRNA from 1 species
UCUCCACUACAUGGCCAGGUUUUAAAGUGAAGAAUGGAGUCAUAUAAGUCUUUGUUCUUAUGACUUGCUGAUCGUUCUUCUUGUUUAUUACAACCCCUUCCAAAUAUGGUAUCAUAAUUCCUAUGGAAGAGAGUAGUAGCAACCACCAAAAACAAUGGUGAUGCUUCAACAUUUUGCUAUUUGUUUUUGAUUAUGUGAAAAAGAAUUGAAUCGUAAUACGGUUUAAAUAACCAAAGAAGAAAAAGGGACAAAUAUUUAGUGAUGUGACAGAUUUUGAAUGAGAUUAUUUGAAUUUGCUAUAAAUGGAAUGAUGAUAAUGACAAUUGUGGGGGUAGGAAAUAAAGGAAGUGGGUGUGGAAAAGAUAGAAUUUUUUCUUUAAAAAAAUAAGAAUAUGAUUAUUCGAUACAAAUUUUGAAUUGAAUGACAAAAACAUUUAGAAAAAACUGGCUCAUGGCACGUAAUUUUUUUGUAUAUGACACAAAAUUAAACGGUAAUCAUAGGGCUAUCGAAAGACCAUCCGACAGUAAUUAUCGUGUUGUCGACUUUUAAAUUUGUUACUUUGUAAUUUAGAAGAUGUAGUGACAUUGACCAUAUCAUCAUUUUUUUUUUCUAUUUGCGCUAGAAACCCUAUUUUUUAUUUUAAUUCUAAAAAUGGAAACCCUCUAUCUACUUUUAUAAUCUAAACUGUCACUUAAUUCUUUUUAAAUUAAUUAAGGCACAUAAAAAGAAAUAGACAUUUUCAACAAUAGUAGAGUAAAUUAAAAUAUUUACUAAAAUUUUGGAUUCUAUCGAUUAUAUAGAAAUUGAUAACUUCUAUAACGGUAGAGAUAUCAAUGUUUAUUAUUUAUAGAAUCUUAAAUUUUACGAGUUAUUAUUUUUUUUAUAAUUUUUGAUAAUUUUGAAAUCUAGAGAUUACGUUUGAAAUGAUGUAGCUAUUAAAAAGGUUACUUUUCUAUUAGAAUAUAGUAAAACAUCACUAUCCAAUCGUGAUAGACAAAAUUGAUGAACUCGGUUGGAUGCUUCGUGUCCCAAAAUUGAACUUCAUAGACGAAAAAGAUGAAUAUUUAAUUAAAAAAGAAAAUUAAGAAACAAAUAACAUUUUAAAAAAACAAAACACAAAAUGAAUAAAAGAAGAUAAAUUAAAACUCAUACCUCAUAUAAGAUAGAUGAACGAAUGUUGAUUUUGAGAUGAAAUUCUAUACUAUAAUUAAAAUAGUGGAGACAAAGCAGGGGUGGACAAGUGUGUGCAAGGGGAGGCCUUCGAAUUGGUGAAGAUAAGGAGCAAUUUUGUUGAGAGUGACGGGGAGGGCCAUGGAGACUCAUUGUCAUGGGGUGGAGAGUGAUAGAUUUUUUUUUGCUUUGGGGGCCAUUGAACUUGUGGUCAUGGAGAGGAGAGUGAUAGAUUUCUUUUAGUUUGAGGAUGAGAUUCAACCCUUUUUUGGUCACCUAUAAUGAUAAUUCGAGUAAAAGUAUAUUUUUGGUUUCGAUUAAACACUCUAGUCCUUCGAGUUUGUAGAAUAGUUCUAAAUGGUCUUUCAGUUCAUUUUUGUUAGUCGUUCUCUAACACAAAAUUGUGUUUACGGAAUUUAAUUUUAUUAGGUGGUUUUUUAUUUUUCUAUUUCAUUUUUUUUGUUGGGUAUGUUUUUCCUUUCACUCUCCCUUUUUCCUACCUUUUAUCUCUUUUCCAUUUCUCUCGUAGUCUCCCUUUCUCCUUUCUCGCAACUCACUUUGAACUGUCCCGAGGACGUGACAUCUCCAUCAAUAAGAAUUUUGUUCAAGCACUCAUUUACGAGGUGGGAAAUAGAUUUAAAUAUGGACAAAGACAUUCCUUUUAGCUUCUCCAUCCUUACUUUUGGUCUCCCUGGUCUUUGGAAAAAACGUUAAGAAAUUGUAUGAAAAGACGGAGUGGACCAAUUUUAAGCUUUCUUUACAUUUUAGAUAGGGAAAUUGCAAUUGAUGACUAUUUUAGCAAUAAUAAUUAAGGAUAUAGCAACAUUUUAAAAAAAUUGCAAAUAUAGCAAAACUAUCACUGAUAGACUUGUAUCACUGAUAGACUUCAUAUGAUAUAUUAGUGAUUGACCAAUAUUUGCAACAUGGUCUAUCAGUGAUAGACUUAUAUCAUUGAUAGAAUUUGACAAAUUUUGCUAUAUUUGCAAAAUUUUUAAAAUUGUGUUAUAUACUUAAUUAAUUUGAAUUUAAUUGCUAAAUUUGCAACUAUCUCGUUAAGAUUUUUUUAUAAAAAGACGCAGGUGAGGUGAAUUUUCGGAAAGUUUUUCACUAUGGAACUUUUCUUGAUGUUUAAAAAACGUUAAGAGCUAUGUACUUUUACUUGACGUUUUUAAAAUGUCAAGUAAUAUCCCUUCAAAUGAUUGUUUACUUAUUAUACGAUCUGCUAACUUUCCAUACAAUAAUUUAAUUUCAUACUCUACAAAAUACUCGUAAACUUACUUUUAUUAAAUAAAUAUUCAAUCUCCAACCUGAUAUCCAACCUAACAAAAAAAAAAAAACCAAAAUUUUCAACUCAACUCAUAUUUUUAAACUAACACAACCUAACUUAUAUAAUAUGAGAUGGGAAGGUUGUCGGGUUAUUCGAGUUGGACCUAAACUCGUACUUGCAACUCUUUUGUUCACCCUGUCUCCAUCUCUCUCGACUUCUCUUUCAAUCUUCGUCUUCGACUCUCUCGCCGAAUUGCAGGCGCAAGAAUAAACCCUUCUCCGAAUUGGGUUUGUAUAGCCCAUGAGGGAAGGGUUUCACGUUUGUUUCUCACCCUUUGCUUUGUUCCUCAUGACGAGGUUUUGUUUUACAACAUUCCUCAUAUGAAAAUUCCAUUCACCACUGGCUCAUGGCUUCUUCUUCAAUCUUCUUCUCCUCGUUCUGUUCUGUUCUUAUUCUUCUCCUUUGUGGCUUUCAUUCUCCAGGGUUUCAACCGAUUUAGUUAGUAAUAUUAUCCUUUUUAAUUAUAUUUUUCUGUUUUGAUUAUGAUGAUCAUUUUGACCUCAAAUAUUUUUGUAGGGUUUUUAAUUGUAGCUUUUGGUGAAGUAGGAUUGAAGUUUUUAACCAUGAUGACAAUGGCCAUUGAAGAUGAAGAUUCUAUGGCUCUUUUACCAUUUGGAGGAUCAGGCUUUAGUGUUGGAAGCUUCAUGAUCCGACUUCCUCAAUGCAGUGGCCCUCAUCGGCCAAGUAACUCUUUCCAACUUCAUCUUAGAUUAUAACAUUUGAUACUAAAAUGUCAAUAUGGGCGUUUCUCUAUUAGGGAAUAGUAACGUUUUAUGCAUAUCUCCUGGCAUCAAGAUCAGUGUUUCUUCAUUAACUAAAUUAUAAGAACUACAGCUACAAUACAAGGACAAAAAAUAUUACUAAUUCUUAGGUUACAAAUAUAUUUAAUAUUUUGCAAUAUACUAUGUAUAUAUGUAUAUAGAUUCAUUUGUUUCAAUUUUCUAAUAUAUAUGUAAAAGACUUAUCAAAUAUUUAUAUUAUUUGACACAAACAUCAAAGUUUUGAUUUGUUACAUUUGUUACCGUUUGUAUGCAAUGCAUACAAUUUGAAAUAGUUUGUAUCCAAGAAUUUGUUAUAGCCUAUAUAAUUAAUUCUUUUCAUCCAUGGCGAUGAAAAAAACAAAUGUGAAUAAUAAACUCACAGUCAAUCCAAAUGUGAAUGUCAACAAAAAGAGUAUUUCUCGAUGGUAUAAAAAAAUGACUUUUAAUUAGUAUGAACAAAUGGUAUGCAUAGUUUAUUAAUCCUCUAAUCUCUAAUAACCUCAAACACAUGCAUGAAACUCAAAAUCAUGUCUAUAUUAUAUAUUAACACAUUGAUAGAUAGAUAUAUACUUAGAUGAAUUAACAAAUUACUAACUGUAGAGAUUCUGAAGAAAGAGGAAGUAGAAGUAGCAGAAGAAGAAAGAAAAAGAAGGAGGAGGAUGCAAAGAUAGAAAGAGCUUUGAAUUGAUUGGCAAUGGAGGAUUUGGCUUCAAUCUAUAUUAUAUUAUAUUAUUAUAUAUCAUUUAUGGCUUAGAUGGAAAACCAUUUAACAAAAACUUAGCCUUUUUAAAAGUUCCAAAAUAAUAAUUGUUAAUGCUAAAAAUAAUGUCAUAAUAGAAACAUUAAACAUCAAGAUAAUUACAUUAUAAUUGAAAAAAAAGUAAGACAUAAAUAAUCAAAUUGUUGACUUUUAGUGUAAAAAGUUAAGGAGAAGAUAUAUAUUUCUUUUGGUAAAGGAUCCAUAAGGAUUCACCUAAUUCAUAUACUAAAAGGAUUCAUUAUUAUUAAUGGAUGAUAUAUAUAUAUAUUGCACAAGUUGCACCAAACCAAAUAGAUUCAGUUUUGUUCGAUAUUUGAAUAAGUUUUACCAUAAAAUGAGACUAUCUUCAGCUUAAUUUUAUUUCUGAUUUAUUCAAAUUAAAUUUUUAAGAAACAAAACUAAGGAACGUGAGUAUGUCAAAAACUCCUAUUGUUUAUACCUCAUCUGAUCCAUUCACCCUGUAGUUAGUAUCUGUAGGUUUUGUUAUCGUUUGGGGUCAGUACCCUUUUGUGGUUAAAAUGUAAAAAUUAUAUAUUAAAUGAAUAUAGAGAGAAGUCGAGUACUAUAAGAACUACUGAUGAUAUCCAAAGUUUCUCUACGAAAUUUUAUUUUAUUAGUUUUCUUUAGGCUAUUUGUUAAAUUACUUUUGAAUUAUUUUCUUUGAAAGGUUGGUGGUAUUUCUACAACAACGUAACUCUCUUUUCUAUGUGUCUUAACUUAAUGCUAAAUACAUUUUUACUAUGAGAAGAUAUUAAACAUAUUGUACAAUCUUAUAUUAUAACAUUAUACAAACACACAAACUUUUAUGCCAUAGUAUCAUUCAAGUUCAGUACUCUUAGACUUAUAACAAAACCAAACCAUAGGUCUAAAUUAGUAGAUGACAGAGUUCAUUAUCGUCAUCUUCUUCAUAGACCCACCAAUUGUAAUAUAAUAAUGUAAAGAUUUUACAUGAUGAUCUUCUUCUUACGAUCAUCAGCAAGUUGUUUGAGUGGUUCCAUUUGAAUGAUUGAGUUUGGUAACUUUUGUGCAACCAUAAUAUGAAAGAAACCCAUAACUCCAAUGUGAGUUUGAGAAGGAUGAUAUUUGGAUAUCAGAGUUAACAUUUCUUUAUUGUUGAUUUUGACAGAGCCUGGCUUUGGAUAACAAGUUGACAUCUCAACCACAUACCCCUUUUCAUUCCCUAUUUCACUUCCAUUUUCCAUAUAUGGGAGAUGAAGAACAUAGAUCUCUUCCAUCCUAAUAAAUGCAUAAAUACAUAUUAUUCACAAAUUUAAUAAAACUUGGUUAAAUUAUAAGUUUGGUUUCUUUACUUCUAGACUUUUUUUUUUUUUUUUUUUUUUGCCUAUAAACUGAAUUUUCAAAAAGCAUCUAUAAUUAAACAAAUUUCUAUGACAACAGUGCAGUAAACCUUUCGUUUUUGGUUUUUGGUUUUUGAAAAUUAAGCUUAUUUUCUCUCCAAUAGUUAGUAUGUUUUUUAAAUACAUAUCUAAAAGUUAUUUCAGAAAUAUAAAAUUAAAAGUUCAACUAAGUAUAUUUUUUACCCAUCAAAGUUAAAAAAAUGUGUAAUUUUAAUUUUCUAAGAAAUGAAGAGAACAUUUUUUAAGAUAAAUGAGAAAAAAAUACCUGUCCAUAAAGCACUGAACCAAGACCACCAACAUGGAGAUGAGCCAUUCCAUAUAUGAUAUAGCCACUACUUGGAGACAAUAGCCUCACCAUUUUUGUAGCAUUACAUUCAUCACCAACCUUGUUUGUGGAGCAAGUCCCUCUUACAUUAUACUCCACCUGUACACAAACCAUCAAAUGAUAUACAUGUAUAUAUAUAGCAAAUUAUGGAAGUAGUUUGACUUACAAGACAAUUAUGUUGUUGUGGAGCUCCUGUUGAGUCCAUCAAUGGCUUCCAAGUAUCUGUGAUAUCAAAAAUGUAAACCUUAAGAGGAAUAACAAGAUCAUCAUCCCAAUCCACCCACUUGGCUGUAUAUCUAGCAUACAAGUUCCUUUGUUGAUCAUCUCCUAAUUCAUUAUCAUACCCUUUUUUCACUUUACAUUGGGUCUGAUCAUAACAACAUCUUAAACCUCCAACAUAAUCAUCUUCCAAAGCCAUUCCCAACCCAUCUUUUGUAACAUUAUACAAAUGACGUUUGCAUUCAAUACAUCCAAUUCUAUCUUCAACACCUCUUGUAUCAAUGGCAUGAAUAUUAAGAACCCAUUUCUCUUCAUACCCUAAAGGGACUUCCUUUUCAUUACCAACUUCUAUUCCAUAUGGGUGUGGAAGAAAUGAGGAUGUUUUUCUUGAAUCUGCCCCUGUCCCAAAGAAUUGUGGAAGUGCAUGUUUUUGACAUACUCCACUGUUUCCUGCUAUUAUGAAAUUUGGUUCUUGGAGUUGAGUGAAGGAAGUGUUGGUGUGUGGAUCUUUUGUGUCUUUGUGUUGGUAAUACCUGUUGUUGUUGCACAAAAAUAUGUUAUUUUAGAUCAGGAAAAAUAUAAAUGUUUCUCAAAUAAUCAAUUAAACAUGUAUAUACUCACUACUAAUAUCACUGCUAAUACAGUCAACCUAAACUCAUAUACUUCAUAACUAACUCCAUUUCAAACAAAUUAUUUAAUACUCCGCAUUGCAAGCAAACUUCCUGAAUUAGUGAGGUAAAAUACUCUUAAUUAGACACCAAAAACGUAUAGAUCAUUUGACUUGACUCAGAUUAUAAUAACAACAAAAACUAUUACGACUAACUUAUUCUCUGGAAAAUCUUAUUACAAUAAUGUUAUUCAUAAAAGAGAUGUGCCUGAUCAACAGUAAUGAGUUAUGUUAAGAAAUAUUCGAUUGCCUAGAAAAGAGAGAGAGAAAUGGUAUAGACAGUAAAUAAAACAAUAAGAGUAAUAAUAGUACCUUAGAAUUCCCCAAUGGUGAAGAUAAGUUUCAAAGAGAGGGAUGGGAUUGUCUUCUUCAUCUACGACUUCAACAUCAAAACUUUUGAUAGCAAUAUGGCCUUCGGGAAAGUUGGUAUUAUAGAAGAAUCUCUCCACUACAUGGCCAGGUUUUAAAGUGAAGAAUGGAGUCAUAUAAGUCUUUGUUUUUAUGACUUGAUGAUCGUUUUUCUUGUUUAUUACAACCCCUUCCAAAUAUGGUAUCAUAAUUCCUAUGGAGAAGAGUAAUAGGAACCACCAUAAACAUUGGUGAUGCUUCAACAUUUCUGCUUUGUUUGAUUCUGCAAAAAAAAAAGUUUGAACCGUAAUACGGUUUAAAUAACCAAAGAAAAAAGAGGGCAAAUGUUUAGUGACAGAUUUUGAAUUAGAUCAGUAUUUGGAAUCACUAUAUAAUAUAAAUGGAAUGAUGAUAUAAUGAUAAUUGGGGGUAGGGAAUAAAGGAAGUGGGUGGAAAAGAGAG